rnacentral:rRNA from 1 species
UACAGAGGUCCCGAGCGUUGUUCGGAUUCACUGGGCGUAAAGGGUGCGUAGGUGGUAGGGUAAGUCGGAUGUGAAAUCUCGGAGCUUAACUCCGAAAUGGCAUUGGAAACUGCUCUGCUUGAGGGUUGGAGGGGGGACUGGAAUGCUUGGUGUAGCAGUGAAAUGCGUAGAUAUCAAGCGGAACACCAGUGGCGAAGGCGAGUCCCUGGACAACACCUGACACUGAGGCACGAAAGCUAGGGGAGCAAACAGG